GACGAACGCUGGCGGCGUGCUUAACACAUGCAAGUCGAACGGAAAGGCCCUGCUUUUGUGGGGUGCUCGAGUGGCGAACGGGUGAGUAACACGUGAGUAACCUGCCCUUGACUUUGGGAUAACUUCAGGAAACUGGGGCUAAUACCGGAUAGGAGCUCCUGCUGCAUGGUGGGGGUUGGAAAGUUUCGGCGGUUGGGGAUGGACUCGCGGCUUAUCAGCUUGUUGGUGGGGUAGUGGCUUACCAAGGCUUUGACGGGUAGCCGGCCUGAGAGGGUGACCGGCCACAUUGGGACUGAGAUACGGCCCAGACUCCUACGGGAGGCAGCAGUGGGGAAUAUUGCACAAUGGGCGGAAGCCUGAUGCAGCAACGCCGCGUGCGGGAUGACGGCCUUCGGGUUGUAAACCGCUUUCGCCUGUGACGAAGCGUGAGUGACGGUAAUGGGUAAAGAAGCACCGGCUAACUACGUGCCAGCAGCCGCGGUGAUACGUAGGGUGCGAGCGUUGUCCGGAUUUAUUGGGCGUAAAGGGCUCGUAGGUGGUUGAUCGCGUCGGAAGUGUAAUCUUGGGGCUUAACCCUGAGCGUGCUUUCGAUACGGGUUGACUUGAGGAAGGUAGGGGAGAAGGAAUUCCUGGUGGAGCGGUGGAAUGCGCAGAUAUCAGGAGGAACACCAGUGGCGAAGGCGGUUCUCUGGGCCUUUCCUGACGCUGAGGAGCGAAAGCGUGGGGAGCGAACAGGCUUAGAUACCCUGGUAGUCCACGCUGUAAACGGUGGGUACUAGGUGUGGGGUCCAUUCCACGGGUUCCGUGCCGUAGCUAACGCUUUAAGUACCCCGCCUGGGGAGUACGGCCGCAAGGCUAAAACUCAAAGGAAUUGACGGGGCCCCGCACAAGCGGCGGAGCAUGCGGAUUAAUUCGAUGCAACGCGUAGAACCUUACCUGGGUUUGACAUGGAUCGGGAGCGCUCAGAGAUGGGUGUGCCUCUUUUGGGGUCGGUUCACAGGUGGUGCAUGGCUGUCGUCAGCUCGUGUCGUGAGAUGUUGGGUUAAGUCCCGCAACGAGCGCAACCCUUGUUCACUGUUGCCAGCACGUUAUGGUGGGGACUCAGUGGAGACCGCCGGGGUCAACUCGGAGGAAGGUGGGGAUGACGUCAAGUCAUCAUGCCCCUUAUGUCCAGGGCUUCACGCAUGCUACAAUGGCUGGUACAGAGAGUGGCGAGCCUGUGAGGGUGAGCGAAUCUCGGAAAGCCGGUCUCAGUUCGGAUUGGGGUCUGCAACUCGACCUCAUGAAGUCGGAGUCGCUAGUAAUCGCAGAUCAGCAACGCUGCGGUGAAUACGUUCCCGGGGCU
rnacentral:rRNA from 1 species